GCGCCCGUAGCUCAGCUGGAUAGAGUACUGCCCUCCGAAGGCAGGGGUCAGAGGUUCGAAUCCUCUCGGGCGCG
rnacentral:tRNA from 1 species